rnacentral:rRNA from 1 species
AACGAACGCUGGCGGCAUGCCUAACACAUGCAAGUCGAACGAGACCUUCGGGUCUAGUGGCGCACGGGUGCGUAACGCGUGGGAACCUGCCCCUAGGUUCGGAAUAACUCCCCGAAAGGGGUGCUAAUACCGGAUAAUGUCUUCGGACCAAAGAUUUAUCGCCUUUGGAUGGGCCCGCGUUGGAUUAGCUAGUUGGUAGGGUAAAAGCCUACCAAGGCGACGAUCCAUAGCUGGUCUGAGAGGAUGAUCAGCCACACUGGGACUGAGACACGGCCCAGACUCCUACGGGAGGCAGCAGUGGGGAAUAUUGGACAAUGGGCGAAAGCCUGAUCCAGCAAUGACGCGUGAGUGAUGAAGGCCUUAGGGUUGUAAAGCUCUUUUACCCGGGAUGAUAAUGACAGUACCGGGAGAAUAAGCUCCGGCUAACUCCGUG